GGGGGUAUAGCUCAGCUGGAUAGAGCAACGGCCUUCUAAGCCGUGGGUCGAGGGUUCGAGUCCUUCUACCCCCGCCA
rnacentral:tRNA from 1 species